GAUGAACGCUGGCGGCGUGCCUAAUACAUGCAAGUCGAGCGAACGGACGAGAAGCUUGCUUUUCUGAUGUUAGCGGCGGACGGGUGAGUAACACGUGGAUAACCUACCCAUAAGACUGGGAUAACUUCGGGAAACCGGAGCUAAUACCGGAUAAUAUUUUGAACCGCAUGGUUCAAAAGUGAAAGACGGUCUUGCUGUCACUUAUAGAUGGAUCCGCGCUGCAUUAGCUAGUUGGUAAGGUAACGGCUUACCAAGGCAACGAUGCAUAGCCGACCUGAGAGGGUGAUCGGCCACACUGGAACUGAGACACGGUCCAGACUCCUACGGGAGGCAGCAGUAGGGAAUCUUCCGCAAUGGGCGAAAGCCUGACGGAGCAACGCCGCGUGAGUGAUGAAGGUCUUCGGAUCGUAAAACUCUGUUAUUAGGGAAGAACACAUGUGUAAGUAACUGUGCACAUCUUGACGGUACCUAAUCAGAAAGCCACGGCUAACUACGUG
rnacentral:rRNA from 1 species